CAGCUAAGGGACUAGGAUCAAAAGUCAGAUCUCAGGUAGCCAAAGGUUAAAAUCAUCAAUGAAGAUUUUAUAGCCAGUCAUUGGAGACAUAGCUCUUUCCAGUAGUUAUCAUUCAUACAUGUACACAUUCGCACAGUUGAAUAUUUGAUAUUGAGUAAUUCCUGGGAAAGACUAAUCCUCCCUCUGUCAAUGGUUGCUAAUUGCAUGGUUUAGAACAAUAGAUUCUCUUCACAGCAUCUAGCCAUAGAUCUCAGUUUAAUAUAUUGCAACCAAAUGAAUUUCUACUUGGUGAUGGCAGGAAUGAAGGCAUAAUCUUUCCUUCAGUAGAAACCAGUGGACUUCAAGCUAAUGAUUUCUAUUACUCUGCCUCUAUUGGGCCAGGCAAGCUCUCACCUACCAGGGGUUUGGAAAGAAGCAUAUGAAGACCCAUCCCCAAACAUGGACGUCUAUGAGUGAGACAGUUCAGCCCAACUACCUGCACCAAAAUUCCAUUUCCUUCUAUAAUUAGUAAUUUUUUACUACCUUAUGGAACUUGUGUUUUCCUCUUUUUUUUUUCUUAUGCUAGGAUAAGUUACUCUUUUAUUUCACUGCCUUACCUUACCCAGGAAACUCUACUCAGCAAUUUAGAUGGAAAACUUAUAGAAACACUUUUCCUUUCGUUAUUACUUUUUACAUUUUUAUAAAAUUAUUUUGUAUUUUUAUUUUGUGUUUAUGAGCUUUUUUGUGUGUGUUUUGCCUACAUGUUUGUUUGUAUACCACAGGUAUGCUUGGUGUGUGCAGAGAGGAGAGGAGGACCCCUAGAACUGGUGUUAAAUGACUGAAAUGGAGAAACUAUCUAUAUAUUUGAUGACCUUAUACUUAGCCAUUGAUCAGAUCAAUAAGGACUCACAACUGCUUCCCAUUGUGACCUUGGAUUUCCAUGUCUACAACGCCUUUAAUUCUAACAAAAAAAAAAAAAAAACCCCUGGAAGGCCCUCUGAUGUCAAUGUCUGGAAGAACUGAGUAUGUUCCUAACUACGAAUGCAAAACACAACACAAAGCUCUAGGAAUCAUUUCAGGAACCAUGUCAGAAUUUUCUGCUGCAAUUGGAACACUUUUAGAGCUCUAAAACGUCCCACAAGUAAGUUAGAAAAGUAUUUUGGUGCACAAUCAUAGGUCAAAACUGACAAAAACAAAAGAAAACAGAGAAGUGUUUUAUGUUUAGUAUAGGCAGAUUUAAAAGAGCAGUGAAUGAAUUACUUUGAUAUGGCAAUGGUUAACAGUAGAAAGAAUGUCAUAAAAAUCAUGCUCAGUACAUUCUGAAAAUUUCUAAGCAGAUCACUUAGUGGAAACCAUGACUCUAUUGUCAAACACUGGAAGAUGUACUGUGGAUAGUAAGGCUGCAUUUUAUCAUAAGCCAAAUUGUACAACAAAGAUACCUAAGUACCAAAGAAAGCAUAUAACAGUCUCAAAAUUCCUACAGUUGUCAAUACUGAUGUAUGAAAAAAGAAAGUCUGGGACAUGUAACUAAAUUUAGAACAAUCUUCAAUGUCAUCAUGGAUGAAAAUCUUUCAAGGAAUUAACAAUCUCAUUCAGGAAAGUAGAUCUCAGCGCAGCAUUCACAGAGACCAACCACUUAAAUAGAUUGCCACAAUUGACUCUUUCCAGGCUACACUGAAGAAAGGUAUCCAUCAGCCGCCAUUACUACAAACAGAGAAAAAUACUGUGUGAGCACAAGGGUCUGGAAUAAUGAAGAUUAUAAAACCACAGUGUAACUCUGAUUGUUAUCACUCAGUUUAACAAUUAAUAAAUGUAUUUUAUCCUAAUGUAACAAAAAAUGAAACAGAAUAAUUUACAUCUGUUUCAGAGACUUUUUUUUUUCCUCAGUCAAAUCUAUCAUUAGACAGGAAUAAUGCAAUAACUCCUGGAAAUGUGAUUUUAGAUCUUUACAACUUGUACCAUUUUAACUUAGGUAACUGAAUCUCUAAAAAUUUUGUCAGUCUCUUUUUCUAUUUGCUUUUCUAAAGCUGAAGGUUCUGAGAAAUAUGCUGUUAUAUGACCAGAAAGUACUUGGUAGUACUUUCUGCAGUCUUUCACUACAUCAGAUACUCUGUUGCAUCGUCAUUGCAACAAAGGAGAUCUAUCAGGUCUUUCAAAGACAGUGAACAGAAUAUUGUUUACUCCAGAUACCUUAGUAACGUUGGAGCUCAUGGUACUUGAAAAAAAAAAAAACAACAUAUUCCAUCACGUGAUUAGAGAGACAAGCUAAUCUCAGAGAAGACAGCUCCUCACCAAUAUUCUGUCCUUUGAUUCUCAUAUGCAAAGAAUGAACUCACUUCCUCCCUCCGGGUUAUGAUUCCAAAUAUGUGAAACUCAAGAAUCACUUUUUUUUUCCUUUGCUUCUUCAGGUCACAUAUGGUCCCUUUGAUUCCAUGCUAAGUGACAAAGAUACAUUCCCAACCCUUUAUCAGUUGUCUCCUAAAGACAGAGCUCUAACCCAAGUGUUGAUCUCUUUAUUGCUCCACUUUGGCUGGAGGUGGCUGGGGCUCUUUGUGUCAGAUGAUGGGAGAGGAAGGGAGUUUCUCUCAGACCUAACAGUAAAGAUUGUUUCAGAAGAUAUCUGUGUGGCUUUUACAGAAAAACUGAUAACUCAAAAUUUAGAAUAUUUUAUGAUUAUGGAUUGCUGAACUUGUACCAACAUAUACAAGUAAAUGUGAUUUUAUUCUAUGAUAAUAUGGAUGACUUGGUGAUCUCCCUCCCAUACAUUAUUUUUUUUUUUAAGAAUAAAGGUGUGGAUCAUGGCAAAGCAACACCUGACAUAUUUAGAAUCUACAUUCAAUGACAGGAAUUUUUGGAUAUAUAUUUUCAGAGGAAGUUUCUCAUUUUCAAAGAGGAGAAGUAUCCCUGGCUUCAAGCACUUUCUUGAGGCACUUACACCCUCCCAGUACCCAGGAGAUUCUUACUUCUCUAAAUUCUGGGUUGACAAUUUUGAUUGUUCACCUCUUGGUUUUCUAUGUGAAAAAUUUAAACCCUCUCCAGCGAAUAUUUCCCUAAAGACUGGGGAUGAAAUAAAUGAUGUGAUGACUA